GUUCUGUGGGCGGAAGCAGGGGAUUCUAAGCUGGUCGCUGGUACCGAGGUAGACUCUUAGAAUGCAGCUUGUGUUGAGGGAUUUGGAGUUCCGUCCUGAGAAAUCCACAAGUCAGGCAUGGUGUUCCCCUUCAUUAUGGGUUAUUUUGCAUCUUUGAAGAUACCUCUGAUGUGUCUGCAAAUACGACGGCCACCAUCCUGGCAUCUUUACCUGUUCUGAAUCCUGAAGUUCUAAGGAGCUCCUUGAGCAGUCUUGUGAGGGCAGCUGCAGUUUCCACACAGUUAUCUGGACCUGCUGGUGUGGGGGAGCUUCAAUGACCCAAGUACAGGUGGAAAAUGGCCGUCUGAUGUUUGACAACUGAGGUGAUGAUGUGUUUUGAGGCAUCGAAGUUGCAUUAUAUGUUCCCCCACAAGGCACUGAAGAGGGAGAAAGAAAAUAAUGUAGAUGUUUUAAUCAUCUCUAAUUAUACAUACUGUCUUUAACAUCUUUCUCUGGCCUAGGAAACAUGUUAAUAUUCUUUUAAGGAUUUAGUAAAUGUCGUGGUGACACAGGGCUGCAAUCCUACCUUCAUGCAAGCUUGAGGCUGAAGGAUAAAAUUCAAGGCCAGCCUGGCAACUUAGUGAGACGUUGUCAAAGAAAGGGAAACUGAGGGCAGGCAAUCUAGCUCUUGUGUUUAAUAAUCCGCUAAAACUGUAAUUAAUUUACAUGUAAUAUGCAUGCAUUCUUGUCUGUGCAUAAGGACAUAUGUAUUUCAUAAUCUGUCAGAAUACUUACUGUCCACAAAGGUAUAUGUUGCAUUAAAUCCUCUCAUUUGAAUACUUAUGUCAGAGACAAAUUGAACUGUAAGAAAGUUGCCAGAAGAAAUAAAAGGGGCAGGCCUACUGGAACCACAAAAUCUUCCGCCUAAAUAUGAGUUUAUGCUUGCACCAUCUGCUAUCUGGAAGAAAAAGUAGUUUAUAGUAGUUAAUUAUUAAUAAGGGAAUUGCUAUUUUGCACUAACUUACCUAUGAGUUCACCAUAUAUCUAUGGUGAUAGACAGACCAUGGAUUACGGAUCUAUAUGUGGGUGUUCUUAUAGGCAGUCUUAAUUUAUAUUGAUAAUGCUAUAAUGACUUUCAGUGAUGCCCAUCAUAUAUUUUUCUGUUAGGAAAAGUAAUAUAUAAUUGAAAUAAACAACAACAACAACAAAA
rnacentral:lncRNA from 1 species